rnacentral:misc_RNA from 1 species
GAUGAAGAACGCAGCGAAAUGCGAUAAGUAAUGUGAAUUGCAGAAUUCAGUGAACCAUCGAAUCUUUGAACGCACAUUGCGCCCUCUGGUAUUCCGGGGGGCAUGCCUGUUCGAGCGUCAUUAUAACCACUCAAGCUCUCGCUUGGUAUUGGGGUUCGCGGUUCCGCGGCCCCUAAAAUCAGUGGCGGUGCCUGUCGGCUCUACGCGUAGUAAUACUCCUCGCGAUUGAGUCCGGUAGGUCUACUUGCCAGCAACCCCCAAUUUUUACAGGUUGACCUCGGAUCAGGUAGGGAUACCCGCUGAACUUAAGCAUAUCAAUAAGCGGAGGA